CAGUAGCCACGGUAAUACGUAGGGCGCAAGCGUUAUCCGGAAUUAUUGGGCGUAAAGAGCUCGUAGGCGGUCUGUCGCGUCUGGUGUGAAAUCCCGAGGCUCAACCUCGGGCUUGCAUCGGGUACGGGCAGACUAGAGUGCGGUAGGGGAGACUGGAAUUCCUGGUGUAGCGGUGGAAUGCGCAGAUAUCAGGAGGAACACCGAUGGCGAAGGCAGGUCUCUGGGCCGCAACUGACGCUGAGGAGCGAAAGCAUGGGGAGCGAACAGGAUUAGAUACCCCAGUAGUCCCUGUCUCUUAUAC
rnacentral:rRNA from 1 species